CGCUCUUAUGGCCCCUGGUCACUUCCUGCCCACCCUGUGAGAGAGCCCGCGGCAGCUGAAUGCAAAGCGAUUCCUCUCUGACGUGGCCUGUGAGCCGGCAGCCUAACGGCUCUGAAAAAGGCAAAACCACCAGCGGACGGCCUGGCCCUCGUGUGUCCCAGCUCACGUGUCCCUGAAACCACUGGCGUGGUGGCCUGUGGCCCACGGACUGAAGGUCACCAGCGCUCCCGUCGUAAAAGACAGCAGUGGCCACUCCUUCCUCAGUUCUCCUCCUGGAUGCCUGGCCCCCAGCCACAGCGGCCGCGAGUCCAGGUCCCCAGGACGACGCGGGACAACCAUCCAGCAAUAAAGAGGCGCAAAGUACUGACGUG